rnacentral:rRNA from 1 species
CCUACGGGUGGCAGCAGUGGGGAAUAUUGCACAAUGGGGGAAACCCUGAUGCAGCGACGCCGCGUGAGUGAAGAAGUAAUUCGUUACGUAAAGCUCUAUCAGCAGGGAAGAAAUACUGACCUUACGGUCAGCAGACGGUACCUGAGUCAGAAGCCCCGGCUAACUACGUGCCAGCAGCCGCGGUAAUACGUAGGGGGCAAGCGUUAUCCGGAUUUACUGGGUGUAAAGGGAGCGUAGACGGUGGGCCAAGUCUGGAGUGAAAUGCCGCAGCUUAACUGCGGAACUGCUUUGGAAACUGGCGAACUAGAGUGCGGGAGGGGUAAGCGGAAUUCCUAGUGUAGCGGUGAAAUGCGUAGAUAUUAGGAGGAACACCGGUGGCGAAGGCGGCUUACUGGACCGUAACUGACGUUGAGGCUCGAAAGCGUGGGGAGCAAACAGGAUUAGAUACCCCAGUAGUC